AGCUCCAGUAGCGUAUAUUAACGUUGUUGCAGUUAAAAAGCUCGUAGUUGGAUUUCUGGCCUGGUGCGCCUGAUCCGCGGCCCUUUUAGGGGACGUGUGUAUCGGUUCGCGCGCCUGCCAUCCUUCUGGAGAGUACGCCUACCCUUCACUGGGCCGGGUGUACAAUCUGGAUCUUUUACUUUGAAAAAAUUAGAGUGUUUCAAGCAGGCAUUAUGCUGUGAAUACAUUAGCAUGGAAUAAUAAGAUAGGACUUCGGCUCUAUUUUGUUGGUUUCUAGGACUGAAGUAAUGAUUGAUAGGGAUAGUUGGGGGUGCUAGUAUUUAACGGCCAGAGGUGAAAUUCAUGGAUUCGUUAAAGACUAACUAAUGCGAAAGCAUUCACCAAGGAUGUCUUCUUUAAU
rnacentral:rRNA from 1 species